rnacentral:rRNA from 1 species
GACGAACGCUGGCGGCGUGCUUAACACAUGCAAGUCGAACGAUGACGCCCAGCUUGCUGGGUGGAUUAGUGGCGAACGGGUGAGUAACACGUGAGUAACCUGCCCCUGACUCUGGGAUAAGCGUUGGAAACGACGUCUAAUACUGGAUAUGACUACUGGUCGCAUGGCCUGGUGGGGGGAAGAUUUUUUGGUUGGGGAUGGACUCGCGGCCUAUCAGCUUGUUGGUGAGGUAAUGGCUCACCAAGGCGACGACGGGUAGCCGGCCUGAGAGGGUGACCGGCCACACUGGGACUGAGACACGGCCCAGACUCCUACGGGAGGCAGCAGUGGGGAAUAUUGCACAAUGGGCGAAAGCCUGACGCAGCAACGCCGCGUGAGGGAUGACGGCCUUCGGGUUGUAAACCUCUUUUAGUAGUGAAGAAGCGAAAGUGACGGUACCUGCAGAAAAAGCACCGGCUAACUACGUGCCAGCAGCCGCAGUAA